rnacentral:rRNA from 1 species
UUGACCUCAAAUCAGGUAGGACUACCCGCUGAACUUAAGCAUAUCAAUAAGCGGAGGAAAAGAAACUAACAAGGAUUCCCUUAGUAACUGCGAGUGAAGAGGGAAAAGCUCAAAUUUAAAAUC